CACCCUCUCAGGUCGGCUACGUAUCGUUGCCUUGGUAAGCCGUUACCUUACCAACUAGCUAAUACGGCGCAGGUCCAUCUAUAAGUGAUAGCAAAGCCAUCUUUCACUAUCGAACCAUGCGGUUCGAAAUAUUAUCCGGUAUUAGCUCCGGUUUCCCGAAGUUAUCCCAGUCUUAUAGGUAGGUUACCUACGUGUUACUCACCCGUCCGCCGCUAACGUCGAAGGAGCAAGCUCCUCGUCUGUUCGCUCGACUUGCAUGUAUUAGGCACGCCGCCAGCGUUCAUCCUGAGCCAGGAUCAAACUCU
rnacentral:rRNA from 1 species